rnacentral:tRNA from 1 species
CAAAUAUUUUUUUUUAUUUUUUACACGAAUAAAUUUACUGUUUAGUUAGUAUUAUUUGA